GGCCGCGGGAAUUCGAUUAGAGUUUGAUCCUGGCUCAGAUUGAACGCUGGCGGCAUGCCUUACACAUGCAAGUCGAACGGUAGAGUAGCAAUACUCGAGAGUGGCGAACGGGUGAGUAAUAUAUCGGAACGUGCCCAGUCGUGGGGGAUAACGUAGAGAAAUUUACGCUAAUACCGCAUACGAUCUAAGGAUGAAAGCGGGGGAUUCGCAAGGACCUCGCGCGAUUGGAGCGGCUGAUAUCAGAUUAGGUUGUUGGUGAGGUAAAAGCUCACCAAGCCGACGAUCUGUAGCUGGUUUGAGAGAACGACCAGCCACACUGGGACUGAGACACGGCCCAGACUCCUACGGGAGGCAGCAGUGGGGAAUUUUGGACAAUGGGCGAAAGCCUGAUCCAGCAAUGCCGCGUGCAGGAAGAAGGCCUUCGGGUUGUAAACUGCUUUUGUACGGAACGAAAAGGCUCUUUCUAAUAAAGAGGGCCCAUGACGGUACCGU
rnacentral:rRNA from 1 species